rnacentral:lncRNA from 1 species
AGGGGGAGCAACGGGUCUUCCUGGAGGCGGGGUUGCCACAGCCAAACCUGCAGGACGAAGAGGAUUUGGGCGGGAGAAGAAGGCGAAGGACUCUAGGUUGAUUUGGACUGUUUUCCUUGACGGUAAUGACCUGCUUCCUGAUUAGGGAGAGAGCUGGGGUGGGGAGAGGAUGUGGGUGUGGGGGAUGAGGCCCUAGCUUUUCCAGCAGAGAGAGUGCUUCUCACUUCGGGGCAAGAAGGAGGCUGCAGGCCAGGCUUUCCUGCUCAGAGGCGCCAUCUCCAGCCCCGGACCCACCCCGUUCUCAGGCGUCCUGGGCAGCUCACACCAGGCAGAGAGCACAGCCCGGGCCAUACCGCAUGGGACAGCAGGGGACUGUGAAUGGGUAACCUGUGGAGAGGCAGCCUGUGUCCUGGGACCCUGCAGUCCUGGUCCCUGGUGGGGAGUUCUGAGCCAUAUCAGCGUUGGGCACUGGUGUUCCUCAGUGAGGAAGUGCAGGGUGACUGCCUGUCCCUCACCUGUGUGACAUUAUCUGCCAUUGCCUGCCACAUCCCACCGUUAUCAGGGAGUCACAGCGUGACCUCCAGGACAGUUCCAGCUCAGGAUGGCUUUCUUCUGAGGCACCCCUGUGCCUGUCACAAAGUC